rnacentral:ncRNA from 1 species
AAGUAUAAUUUAGCUAUUUGGCUCUGGUAGGUUGUCGGUUUUUUCUAGGCUUACACAUGGUAUUUUUUGAGUGUUGGGAGUUGUUUAGUUGCUGAUGAGUUUUUAAAUAGAACUAACAAAAGCGACUGAGGAGGUUCGUUGAGUUGCGUUGUUGAAUGAAUGAUAAAAUCCCCGUAUCUCCAGUGUUUAAUAUUAAGAAUUUAAUUGUGUGGAAACACAGCCUUAGCCAAAGAAAAUAAAAGAAGGAAAUAAAGUGCCAGCACCUGCGGUCAAACUUUUUGCUUUAAGCCGAUAUACUUGUAUAGCGGAAAGUUGGUGAAUCUUGGGUUAGUUUUUGUCUGUUAAAUUGGUAAAAUAUUUAUAGAUAAUUAUUCUUAGUCCUUAAAACCAGUUCUUUUGAAGUCUGUAAUAGGAACCAGGAUUAGAGACCCUGUUACUGAAGAUGUAAAAUUCAAGCUACGGGGACUACGAGCAUAAGUGCUUAAAACCCAAAGAGCUUGGCGGUUUCUCAUACCCAUUUAGGGGAACUUGGCGGUUAAACCGAUAAUCCACGAUUUAAUUGUACUCUUUUAUUUCUUAACAUACCGCCGUUGUCAAUCCACCCUUAAAGGAAAUGCUGGGGGUUUGUGUAGUUGGAAAAAACUAUUGAAUUCAGGUAGACGUGUUGGUUAAAAAAGAGGCUUAGCUGAGUUACAGUUGAUAGUCAAAACGAAUUUUUUUUUGUGAUAAAAAAAUGAAGGUGUACUUAAAAGUAAGCUUUUUGUGAGUUUUUGGAGCUGAAUUGAGUAAUUGAGUUGUGUACAAAUUGCCCGGCACCCUCGUAUAGUUAAAAUGAGGUAAGUCGUAACAUAGUAAUACUACCAGAAGGUGGCGUUUUAUAAA